CAGAAUGUUUAUGUAACCGGGAGUUGUGACGUGGAGGGCACUAGGACCCAGAAAAUGGCCUCACACUAGGUGUGUCGUUUGUUAUUGAUGGGGGACGCUAUUUAGUGAUCCAAUCUGCAGCCGUGCUCACUUUAAACGCCGCUGUCGUCCAGCUUGUGUCAGGCCAAUCAAGCACACGUGGGGCUCCCUCGAGAUUCUGGCCGUGCGUUGAAACGUCGGGUUCAAAACGUAAGGUGCGAUAUACUUGCCAGUAAUCCAAAAUCCUGUUUAGCCUGCAUAGCAUUUUAAAGAUUAUUUUGCUUCAGGUGUGUUUGGGCUGUUGCAAGCCCCCACCCGUCAGACAGGGUGGCGCGUGGAACGCGGAAGUGAACAAAUGUGUGGCGUGAUUAAGGCCUACUGCCUGGAACUUUAUGGGAGGAAAGUCAUGACUUGCUGGAAGUGUUUUCACUGUAGGCUCUCUCCCUUAUGUUUUGAUGUGCUUUUUUUAUUUAAAUAUGCAUUGUAUCUGUUUCCAGGAUGAAUUGGUUGUGCUUUUAAUCUGCCACUAUUUUAUACCGCUACAUUUUUAUUGUAUUUGAUUGUGCCACUCUUUUAUUAGUUUUAAAUCAUUUUAUACCCGGGCCUUUCAGCACCAGUUUUACAAAGCAGCGGUUUUACAUGUAAUCCUUCAAGCUGUUCUUAAGUGUGUGGUUUUUACUUGCAGUCUGCCCCGUUUUAUUUGUUGUGAUUUGUUUUAUUUGGACCGGUUGCAUUUUAAGUGUGUUUUACAGUCUUGAGUUUUUACUGUUAAACUGCUGUCGCUUCCUGGCCGAAUAAAACUUUUAACUCUG